UCAUUAAGAAGCUUAUAUAGCAUUAGACUUUUAAUCUAAAGACAGGUGAUUUAAACCACCCUUAAUGAU
rnacentral:tRNA from 1 species